rnacentral:rRNA from 1 species
UACGGAGGGAGCUAGCGUUGUUCGGAAUUACUGGGCGUAAAGCGCACGUAGGCGGCUUUGUAAGUUAGAGGUGAAAGCCCGGGGCUCAACCCCGGAAUUGCCUUUAAGACUGCAUCGCUUGAAUCCGGGAGAGGUGAGUGGAAUUCCGAGUGUAGAGGUGAAAUUCGUAGAUAUUCGGAAGGACACCAGUGGCGAAGGCGACACACUGGGCCAUUACUGACGCUGAGGCGCGAAAGCGUGGGGAGCAAACAGG